rnacentral:tRNA from 1 species
CGGGGUGUAGCUCAGUUGGCUAGAGCGUUGCGUUCGGGACGCAGAGGCCGUGGGUUCAAGUCCCACCACCCCGA